rnacentral:rRNA from 1 species
GACGAACGCUGGCGGCGUGCUUAACACAUGCAAGUCGAACGGAAAGGCCCUGCUUUUGUGGGGUGCUCGAGUGGCGAACGGGUGAGUAACACGUGAGUAACCUGCCCCUGACUUUGGGAUAACUUCAGGAAACUGGGGCUCUUACCGGAUAGGAGCUCCUGCUGCAUGGUGGGGGUUGGAAAGAUUCGGUGGUUGGGGAUGGAUUCGCGGCUUAUCAGCUUGUUGGUGGGGUAGUGGCUUACCAAGGCUUUGACGGGUAGCCGGCCUGGGAGGGUGACCGGCCACAUUGGGACUGAGGUAGGGCCCAGACUCCAACGGGAGGCAGCAGGGGAGAAUAUUGCACAAUGGGCGGGAGCCUGAUGCAGCGGCGCCGCGUGCGGGAUGACGGCCUUCGGGUGGUAAACCGCUGUCGCCUGUGACGAAGCGUGAGUGACGGUAAUGGGUAAAGAAGCACCGGCUAACUACGUG